UACGAAGGGGGCUAGCGUUGCUCGGAAUUACUGGGCGUAAAGGGCGCGUAGGCGGGUCGUUAAGUUAGAGGUGAAAGCCCAGGGCUCAACCCUGGAAUUGCCUUUGAUACUGGCGGCCUUGAGUAUGGCAGAGGUGUGUGGAACUCCGAGUGUAGAGGUGAAAUUCGUAGAUAUUGGGAAGAACACCGGUGGCGAAGGCGGCGACCUGGUCCUUUACUGACGCUGAGGCGCGAAAGCGUGGGGAGCAAACAGG
rnacentral:rRNA from 1 species